AGACUUGAGCCCAUCGGGAGGAUUGUGUUCUGGGGCCUCCUCAGGCAGUACCUCUGGGAACAGGGGCUUGGAUCGGUCAAUGACGAACAUCUCGUGUCCAUGGUCAUCACGGAGCUCCUCGAGCUGUGCAAAGGUGCAAGGCCCAUCCGAAUAAUCGUUGACAAAUAGGGUGCCUUCUCCCGACGGCGCAGGCACCUUUUUCCGCCGGCGUCGGCGUCGGCAGAUCAUAGCUGCCAACAACAGCGCGGUGAGCGCCAGCAGCGCUAUGGCUGCUGUGAUCGCUGUCUGCGUUGCUAGGCCCAGGGCUCGGAAAGCCAUGCUACCUGCCUCAUGCUGGGGUUCAUGUCCCACAGGGCGUGUAGCUGGGGCUUGCGGGUCAGGUAGCUGCUGUGACUGCUGCCGAGAUGCGUUGACCAGUAGAUGAAAGGGCACUCGAGCUUUGCCACCUGCAUUGGCGGCCUCGCAUUCGUACUUGCCUGCGUGAGCCAGUGUGAUGUUGGUGAGGAAGAGCAUGCCGCUGCCAGUAUCUCGGGUGCCGUGCCCGCCCAAGCCUGGCGCCCCACCUUCCAGCUGGGCCUGGGCUUGAGGCUUACCAUCGCGAGGCUGGGGCACCUUUCUCCAGACCACCAGGGGCUGUGGGUAGCCUGAUGCCUGACAGGCGACCUGCAGGUCCUCCCCCAGAUUAGCUGUAAACUCCGGGGGCUCCACGUUCACAGAGGGGGGAAUGCAGAUGAGGCUACCACCAGAUACUUCUAGUAGACUCUGUAGCGCCAGGCGUGGGGGCUCUGCACAUGUGAUCUUCUUGUCUCUGGAGCUCAGAAGCCGUCGGCCCCCCUCUUUGAUCCAAGAGCCCAGCCAGUGAAGGGCACAGUCACAACGCCAUGGGUUCUCUGUGUAGGGCAGAAUAGAGCCUAGGUAGAUGGAUCCUACUAAUCCAAACAGAAGCCCUUAUCUAUCUCUUACAGAUGCCUAUAGGGUUCUAGAACCCUUGUCACCUCUUCCCUCACUCCAACUUCCUAGGAAUGUUUGUGAUGACAGUUCCUGAAAAGGCGUCAGCUUCUCCUGUCCUGGCUUUGCAAGCCUCUGCAUCCCUCAGCCCGGCACUGAAACCCUGUCGUCACAUGAGCUCUGUCCAGUUUUGCCUGGCUCCCCCUGAUGACAAGUUAGAAGAGCCUCAAAUCUCUACACACAGCGUUCUAGGACAACCAGUGCCUCACAGAAAACUCUGUCUUGAAAACCAAAACAAAAAAGAGCUUCAAUUCUGUUAAGUUACUCUGCAGAACUUGUACCUUGUUUCCUUAAAUAGAUGCAUAAGCUGUAGCUCCUAACAGUACUCCCUGGUAGUCCCUUAUCAAGGCCGAGGUUCUUGUGUGGCCCUCCAAAGUAAUGCCCACUGGCUGCCAUAGUGAAGCAAGACAGACAAGGGGAAAAUAUAGGGGCACAGGAAGGGAGGCAAGUCCCCAUAGAAUCUGGCUGAAGCCUCUCACCAAGUGACAUCAACAUUAACUUUGAAGAUUGCCAACAUAACAAUACUCCUUUUACAUUUAGAAGAAUAUUAAAACAGCAGUGAACUCUAGGAAAGGCCUCGGCAUGUAUCUGUGGUCCUCAAGGAUGAGCUUGCUCUUUUUGUAGGUAGUAACGAGACUAAACUUUUGUUUACAGUACGGGCACGUUCCCUGGCAACCCCUGUUACUUGGGAGCAUGCACUAUCUUCUGUAUCCCUACCCAAUGUGCAGGACCCACGCUAUAAAUGAUUCCAC
rnacentral:lncRNA from 1 species